rnacentral:lncRNA from 1 species
GUGUCUGAUACAUGCAGUUGUAGUCUGUCUUUGGAACCUGUAGAAAUAACAAGAAAGAGGCUGACAUAGUGUUUUGGUAGAGAAAAGUUUGAGUAUGUACAUGUACAGUUGUUUGACCUGUCUUACCCUGUGGUAGUCCAAGAAGAUGUUAUCAUUAUGAAAAAUGCAGGAGAACUUGAUGACAAUGGUUAGUGCAGAAGGGACAUAAAAAUUAUGAUAAAAGUAAAAGAUAAAUAAGAAGUGCUACAAGUGUGUUGUCAUGUGAAAUGGAAUUUACCCCUACUGUGCUGCAUGAUGUAUAUUCAAGUGCGAGACAUCCAUGUACCAGCUGUAAACUGAGAUGGACCCAUAUGAUAAAUAUGUUGACUUUUCUAUGUAUUAUCAUCUGUACAGAAUGUGUUCAUGACAAGACUGUAUACAUAUAUUGUUAAAUCAUUUUUUAUUUCCAUUAUUGCAUGCAUGCAAGAAGCAAGCAUUUAACAAUUGCAUUCAUAGAAAUGUUAAAAUGUGAUCAAUCUAAUUUAAAGAAAAACAUUUAAUUGGACUUUUUAAGUUUCAUAGUAUUUGUGGUGGAGAUUGACCCAGUUAUUCAGCAACUUGUACUGUCUGUGAGUCAUUUCUUGUAUGUUAUAGUUUUCUUAAUAAUACAUUAAAUGUCAAAGUUAUGGUAAGAUGAACUCAUUCAUCACUUGUAGAUUAAUGUUAAAGCAGUUCAACAUUUUACCA